rnacentral:rRNA from 1 species
GCUAAAACAGUCAGGAGGUUGGCUUAGAAGCAGCCACCCUUUAAAGAAAGCGUAAUAGCUCACUGAUCGAGUCGUCCUGCGCGGAAGAUGUAACGGGGCUAAGCUAUAUACCGAAGCUGCGGAUGCGAGCUUUGCUCGCAUGGUAGGAGAGCGUUCCGUAAGCCUGCGAAGGUGCCUUGUAAAGGGUGCUGGAGGUAUCGGAAGUGCGAAUGCUGACAUGAGUAGCGAUAAAGGGGGUGAAAGGCCCCCUCGCCGUAAGCCCAAGGUUUCCUACGCAACGUUCAUCGGCGUAGGGUGAGUCGGCCCCUAAGGCGAGGCAGAAAUGCGUAGCUGAUGGGAAGCAGGUCAAUAUUCCUGCACCAUUGUUAGAUGCGAUGGGGGGACGGAUCGCGGAAGGUUGUCCGGGUGUUGGAAGUCCCGGUCGCUGCAUUGGAGAAGGCACUUAGGCAAAUCCGGGUGCGUAAUUCAAGGGUGUGGCGCGAGCUCCUUCGGGAGCGAAGCAAUUGGAAGUGGUUCCAAGAAAAGCCUCUAAGCUUCAGUCUAACGAUGACCGUACCGCAAACCGACACAGGUGGGCGAGAUGAGUAUU